ACCUACGGGGGGCAGCAGUAGGGAAUCUUCCACAAUGGGCGAAAGCCUGAUGGAGCAACGCCGCGUGGGUGAAGAAGGUCUUCGGAUCGUAAAACCCUGUUGUUAGAGAAGAAAGUGCGUGAGAGUAACUGUUCACGUUUCGACGGUAUCUAACCAGAAAGCCACGGCUAACUACGUGCCAGCAGCCGCGGUAAUACGAAGGUGGCAAGCGUUAUCCGGAUUUAUUGGGCGUAAAGGGAACGCAGGCGGGCUUUUAAGUCUGAUGUGAAAGACUUCGGCUUAACCGAAGUAGUGCAUUGGAAACG
rnacentral:rRNA from 1 species